UACGGGGGGGGCAAGCGUUGUUCGGAAUUACUGGGCGUAAAGGGCUCGUAGGUGGCCAACUAAGUCGGACGUGAAAUUCCUCAGCUUAACUGGGGAACUGCGUCCGAUACUGGAUGGCUUGAGUUUGGGAGAGGGAUGCGGAAUUCCAGGUGUAGCGGUGAAAUGCGUAGAUAUCUGGAGGAACACCGGUGGCGAAGGCGGCAUCCUGGACCAACACUGACACUGAGGAGCGAAAGCCAGGGGAGCAAACGGG
rnacentral:rRNA from 1 species